CAACGCCACAAGUGGGAACCAGAAUUAUUGGGCCUAAAGCGUUCGUAGCCGGUUAUAUCAAUCCUUUGUGAAAUUGUCAAGCUUAACUUGACGAAUGGCAGAGGAUAUUGUAUAACUUGGGACCGGAAGGGGUUAGGGGUAUUUUGUGGGGAGCGGUAAAAUGCUAUAAUCCUCAAAAGACUACCAGUGGCGAAAGCGCCUAACCAGUACGGGUCCGACGGUGAGGAACGAAAGCUAGGGGAGCGAACCGGAUUAGAUACCCGAGUAGUCC
rnacentral:rRNA from 1 species